rnacentral:lncRNA from 1 species
ACCCAACCACUUAGCCUAACAAAGCGAACUCUUUGAAUUCGAUGAGCCGAGAAAAAGAAAUAAAAAAAAGAGAAAAAAAAGUUCAAAAUGAGAUCAUUAAACACUAACAGGUUAACUUACUAUGUACGAGAAGGGAUAAUGGGCUUAAUGUGAUUGCCAUUGAAUGAAAAUGAGGGAAAGAGAACGAUGGACAUAGUUUGAGUUAUAAUGGCAUGAUCCGG